CGAAGGGGCUAGCGUUGCUCGGAAUUACUGGGCGUAAAGGGCGCGUAGGCGGCACUGUUAGUCAGGCGUGAAAUUCCUGGGCUCAACCUGGGGACUGCGCUUGAUACGGCAGAGCUAGAGGAUGGAAGAGGCUCGCGGAAUUCCCAGUGUAGAGGUGAAAUUCGUAGAUAUUGGGAAGAACACCGGUGGCGAAGGCGGCGAGCUGGUCCAUUACUGACGCUGAGGCGCGACAGCGUGGGGAGCAAACAGGAUU
rnacentral:rRNA from 1 species